UCUGACUUCUAUGCUAGAAAUGCCAACUACAGAACACAGUUGACUCUUCUGUGAAGAACUCUAGCGACGAUAUUGUUGCUGCAGCAUCAGCAGCUUUAGACCAGAUAAAGAAUGAAGAAGUACAAGCUAUUAUAGGGCCCCAAACGUUAACCCAAGCCAAGUUUGUGAUAAAUCUUGGACAGAGCGCUCAAAUUCCCAUUCUUUCAUUUUCAGCUACAGGCCCCUCACUAUCUUCAACCCAAAACCGUUUCUUCAUUCGGACAGCUUUGGAUGAUUGUUCUCAAGUGAAAGCCAUCACAUCCAUUGUUGAACCAUAUGGAUGGCGUGAAGUUGUGGUAAUCUACAAAGACACCGAAUAGGGAAAUGGUUUGAUUCCAUACAUAACAGACUCCUUUCAACAGAUCGAUACGAGAGUACCUUACAGAAGUGUCAUUUCUCCAUCAUCUAGUCCCUAUCAAAUUUUGAGAGAGCUUACUAAGUUAAUAUGGGAAUGUUCACUUGGAUCAAAAGUCUUUGUUCAUGCAAAAGAAGCUGGCAUGAUGACUGAAGGGUAUGCAUGGAUCAUAAUUGCUGGGCUAUCAACUUUAUUGCAUCCAGUGGAGGCAAAGGCCAUUGAUUCAAUGGAAGGUGUGAUUGGUGUAAGGCCCUAUGUACCAAUGUCAAAAAAUCUUACAGAUUUUGAGACGAGAUGGAAAAGGAGACCAUCAUUACCCAACAUUGGCAAGACAAAGCAUACUACUUCAAGGAUAAACCUCUUUGGCUUAUGGGCUUAUGAUACCGUCUGGGCUCUAGCUAAGGCUUUAGAACUGGUUGACCAGGAGGAUAGUUAGUCGACGAAUGCUCGAAAGCAGAAGAAUAGUAGUGCUACAAAUGCCGGAGAAAUGUUAGGCAUAACUCUCUAAAUCGGGUGCAGCACUUGUGAACAAAUUGCUUACUACCAGAUUUGAAGGCCUAAGUGGACAGUUCAGAUUAAUUGGUGGACAGUUUCAACCAACAGCCUUUAAAAUAUUCAAUGUGAUAAGUAAGGGAGAGACAGUUAUUGGAUAUUGGAUCUCCAACACUAACAAAGAAACAUUUGAUGAUUUAGUUCAAUCAGUUAAAGUAGCAUCAAACUAUUCCAUGGUUGAUCAUGAGCUUAUGAAAACAAGAGAUCCUAUCUGGCCUGGAAACACAUAUAUUGCACCAAAGGGUUGGGUUAUACCUGUUACUGGCAAAAAGUUGAGGAUCGGCAUACCCGUGGCAUCUGAUGGUGUCAAAGAAUUUGUGAACAUAGACUGGUCUCGUCAUGACAAUGAUCCUCAGAGAUUUUCAGGGUUUUCAAUUGAUGUCUUCCGGGCGGUCUUAAAAAAGAAUGCCAUUUGCUGUUUUGUAUGAGUUUGUUCCAUACAUGAAUAGCUCAACAAAAGAAGCUGCUGGGACUUAUGAUGAGCUCCUUUCCCAGAUUAUGCUCAAGGUAUGUUGGUGUUUAAUCCUAUCCCUUUCUUUUAUUUCUGAGUUUUCAAUUUCAAACACACCGGUGUUUAUAAGAGCGAAAAUUAGUUUUGAUAAUAGCGCUCUUUGAUUGUUUUCAGUCACUUGUUUGAAUAUGAAAGUGCAGAAAUUUGAUGCUGGGGUGGGAGAUACAGCCAUUGUUGCAAAUAGGACAUCCUACGUUGAUUUUAUACUUCCUUAUUCUGAAUCAGGCGUUUGCAUGGUGGUGAAAGUGAAAAAUAACGAAACAACGAAUAUUUGGAUUUUCCUAAGGCCUCUUAGUUGGGAUCUUUGGUUGACAUCUGAGGCCGCCUUCAUCUUUACAGGCCUUGUAGUAUGGAUUCUUGAACAUCGUAUAAACACAGAAUUCAGGCAUGGUUCAUGAAAGCAACAACUUGCCACCACUCUUUGGUUCUCUUUUUCAACUCUUGUGUUUGCUCAUAAGGAGAAGGUGCAGAGCAACUGGACCAGAUUUGUGCUGAUCAUAUGGAUUUUUGUGGUACUUAUUUUGACAGAGUUACACUGCUAGCUUAGCCUCAUUGUUGACUGUAGAUAAGUUGCAGCCAGCUUGUUGAUGUGAAUGAGCUCAGAAAAACUGGUGAUUAUGUUGGAUACCACAAGGAUUCCUUUG